CGGACGGGCGAGUAAUGUCUGGGAAACUGCCUGAUGGAGGGGGAUAACUACUGGAAACGGUAGCUAAUACCGCAUAACGUCGCAAGACCAAAGAGGGGGACCUUAGGGCCUCUUGCCAUCGGACGUGCCCAGAUGGGAUUAGCUAGUAGGUGGGGUAACGGCUCACCUAGGCGACGAUCCCUAGCUGGUCUGAGAGGAUGACCAGCCACACUGGAACUGAGACACGGUCCAG
rnacentral:rRNA from 1 species